CAUGAAGCAACUUUUCUACAGAUAUAUAAAUAUGUCUAACGAGAACAUUCUGAAAAAUCUUAUUCCAUUAUACAAGGAGACCACUGGCCACACACAGGUUCCUGGUGAAUGAGGGAAGGACCGCAGAUGGAAGUUAUAAACCUGAGGUUGGACGGUGGAUGCAGGAGCAAGGCAAUGGGAAGGAAGUUUUAUGACCCUUUGGCCUAGAGCUCACCUGGACAUUGAGACAGGGAGCUGGAAGAAGUAAAGAUGAUUAUGAAUGUGACAGUGCUUUGGAAACAUCAACGCUUUCUUUGAAUUUUAGUUGCUAUUAUUUCCUGUUGUAUCUUUUCCCGCGUCAUGGUGGAUGUUAUAACACUCUACAUAGCAUAUUCAUUCUCUCUCUCUCUCUCUCUCUCUCUCUCGCUGACUUGCUCUUCCCAUCUUGCUUGCUUGCCCUGGUGAAGCAAGCUGCAUAUUGUGAGGUGCUCUACGGAGAGUUCCACUUGGGGAGGAAUCCAGCAAACCGGAUGGAACUGAGGCCUUCAUAUCACAGCUCACGAGGAACUGAAUCCACUAACAACCAUGCGAUUGAGUGGGGCUCUUCCCAUUCAAGUCCAAAUGCAUGCAGCUUGGAGAGAGACAUGACUAAGGGAUGCCCAGAUUCCUGACUAAAACUGUGAGAUGAAAAACGUGUUGUUUAAAUCACUUAAGUUUUGGAGUAAUUUGUCCUGCAGCAAUAGAUCACGAAUGCGGUUAUUAUCACUGCCUUAAAAAGACUAAGCCUAACGAGCAGCAUGGCUUGCACAGCCCCGUUUAGUGUCCCUCUAACCUCCCUUUCUGGUCUCAUCUUUACCAGGAGGAACCUCGUUCUCUCCAUGCCAUUUUCUUUGUUCUUUUAGUUCGUCACAUAUGCCAUGCUCCAAAGAGCUCUAAGAGAGUAGGGUUUUCUUUAAAAUUGGUCAUGAUUAUUUCUCAGCUCUUAUCCACAGUAGGUGCUCAAUAAAUAUUUGUGGAAUGAAUGAACCUUGAAAUUCCGUGAAGAUCAAAUAUUUUCUUUUCUGAUCACUCCCUGCUUUUGAAGCAUGAAAAUAAUCACGGACAAAACAGCAUGUGUUUAAAAUAUACUUUUAAAGGGGCAAGUUAAAUAAUCUUAAUUUUAUCUCAAGUUAGAAUAUGAUGCCACUCAAGAAUAAUGGGCUGCAUACCUA
rnacentral:lncRNA from 10 species